UGCUUAUAGAGCGAGCUGUGCAAUGCUUGUGGGUCUUUCGUCUUUGCUGAUCUUCACUUCACUGAGACAGCAGAGAACUUCUGCCACUGCCACACCUGUGAAUGGAACUGCCGAUGUCCAGACAACACAGAUGGGAGUUGCUCCAAAGAACCAUUUCCAAACAGCGUGGUGCAUAGAGUAGGCAUCUUCUGAGGUCAUUGCUACAUGGAAAGAUAUGGACGAAACGAAGCAGCCCCUUCAUAUCCCAGCCUCGAGGAACACUUUGGGAAACACUAAGGCACAUGAGUGGGGGAGAAAUACCAACAGUGAUGUCGCUGCUGAUUUAAGAAGCUGUGCUAUCAGACGAUUUGUGCACGUGACUGCUGCUGAUCUUGCCACAAGGCGGCGCUGCUGGAGGCCACCGGAAGCUGGUUUUAAAAGCUCUGCUGUACAAAUAACAAUUCCAGAGGGAAGCUUACGUGUCUUUAAGCCCUACAGGUUUUGAUGUCGGCAGAAGCCAAAUACUCUGCCUUUUAUGACAACGGCAUUGAUGACUCCGUUUCCCCCAGCACGAGGGUGAAGAAGACCAGCAAUCUCCCUCCCCGCCGCCGUCACUUCUGCGCAGAAUCGUUUCCUCGCAGAUGGAAGCGAUUUUUCAUUAGCGUAAAUGGAUGCAUGUUUUAUAAACACCGGCCAUGUGUUUCAUAUUCCAUUCAUGUUUAUUUACACAUCCUGUAAACACGUGUAUACAAAGCCACACGGACACGUGGGGGCGGGGAGGGCAUGGAACACUACGCAUGGAAAAUACCACACUAGGCGGGUGUCCCUCUGAGGGUAAAUCCACCACCCAAAGAUUCCCAUCUACCUUCUUACUACCUUUGGGGCGGUUGGGGACAAGGGAGGAGGGGAGGGUUGUCCUAUAGGGACUCGGACAUUCAGAUUUUCCUCAGCCUCUUUUCUCCCCUUCAGAUGCCCAGCUUUCUUAAGGCUCUGAUUUAUUGAAAAUAAUAAUAAUAAUAAUAAUAAUAAUAAUAAUAAUAAUAAUAAUAAAGUAUCAAUGAUCUCCACC
rnacentral:lncRNA from 1 species